AGCAAUUAUAUUUCUUUAAAUGAAAGUUUCACUUACCUUUUCCAACCACUUACCAUACCCUUUUACAACUUGAGCGUGCGGAAGAACGUUGAAAAAACCUGGUACUACCAUUUUCAAGCCAGACGUUUGGAUUUUCUGAAAAGAUUAAACAUAGUUUACCGUUUCUUCAAGUGUUAGCUGCCUUGUUGCUGUGCGUUGGUCGUCAUUCAAUCAAUCAGUCAAUCAAUUAGAUACUUAGUCUGGGCACAUAUCAAGAAUCAGCUGAGUUUGGAUCUCUCCUCCCCUUUGGUCGUAUAGCCUGUACCUUGAAUUGACUGAAAUAAUGUUCGCAUCAUUGAUUACUUAUAAAAUCACAAUUUCGCAACGCUUAGCUAAUUAUCCGAGACUAAAAACAGAUAUAAGAGGAGC
rnacentral:sRNA from 1 species